ACUACAACUAAUACUACCACUACAGCUAAUACUACCACUACUACCACUACAGCUAAUACUACCACUACAGCUAAUACUACCACUACUACCACUACAGCUAAUACUACCACUACUACCACUACAGCUAAUACUACCACUACUACCACUACAGCUAAUACUACCACUACUACCACUACAGCUAAUACUACCACUACAGCUAAUACUACCACUACUACCACUACAACUAAUACUACCACUACAACUAAUACUACCACUACAACUACUACUACCACCACUACAGCUAAUACUACCACUACAACUAAUACUACCACUACCACUACUACUACCACUACUACCACCACUACUACUACCACCACUAAUACUACUACUACCACCACUACAACUACUACUACUACUACUACCACCACCAUUUACUACUACCACCACUACUACUACUAAUACAACUACAACUAAUACUAUUACCACUACAACUAAUACUACUAUCACCACUACAACUACUACUACUACUACUACCACCACCAUUUACUACUACCACCAUUACUACUACCACCAUUACUACUACUACCAACAUUACUACAACUACUACUAAUACUAUUACCACUACAACUAAUACUACUAUUACCACUAUUACUACUACUACUACCACCAUUACUACUACUACUCCUACCACCAUUACUACUACUACUACUACUACCACCAUUACUACUACUACUACCACCAUUACUACUACUACUACUACUACUACUACUACUACCAUUACUACUACCACUACCACCACUACUACCACCAUUACUACUACUACCACUACUAACUACUACUACCACCAUUACUUCUACUACUACCACCAUUACUACCACUACUACUACUACUACCACCAUUACUACUACUACUACCACCAUUACUACUACUACUACUACCACCAUUACUACUACUACUACUACUACCACCAUUACUACUAUUACUACUACUACUACUACUACUACUACUACCACCACCAUUACUACUACAACUACUACUACUACCACUACAGCUAAUACUACCACUACAACUAAUACUACCACUACAACUAAUACUACCACUACAACUAAUACUACCACUACAACUAAUACUACCACCACUACAACUAAUACUACCACCACUACUACUACCACCACUACAACUAAUACUACCACUACUACCACUACAGCUAAUACUACCACUACUACCACUACAGCUAAUACUACCACUACUACCACUACAACUAAUACUACCACUACAACUAAUACUACCACUACAGCUAAUACUACCACUACUACCACUACAGCUAAUACUACCACUACAGCUAAUACUACCACUACUACCACUACAGCUAAUACUACCACUACUACCACUACAGCUAAUACUACCACUACUACCACUACAGCUAAUACUACCACUACUACCACUACAGCUAAUACUACCACUACUACCACUACAACUAAUACUACCACUACAACUACUACUACCACCACUACAGCUAAUACUACCACUACAACUAAUACUACCACUACCACUACUACUACCACCACUACAACUAAUACUACCACCACUACAACUACUACUACCACCACUACAACUACUACUACCACCACUACAACUACUACUACCACCACUACUACUACCACCACUACUACUACUACUACCACCACCACUACUACUACUACUACUACUACUACUACCACCACUACAACUAAUAUUAUUAUUAUUAUAUUAUUAUUAUAUAUUAACUAAUAGUACCACCACUACAACUACUACUACUACUACCACCACCAUUUACUACUACCACCACUACUACUACUAAUACAACUACAACUAAUACUAUUACCACUACAACUAAUACUACUAUCACCACUACAACUACUACUACUACUACUACCACCACCAUUUACUACUACCACCAUUACUACUACCACCAUUACUACUACUACCAACAUUACUACAACUACUACUAAUACUAUUACCACUACAACUAAUACUACUAUUACCACUAUUACUACUACUACUACCACCAUUACUACUACUACUCCUACCACCAUUACUACUACUACUACUACUACCACCAUUACUACUACUACUACCACCAUUACUACUACUACUACCACCAUUACUACUACUACUACUACUACUACCAUUACUACUACUACUACCACUACCACCACUACUACCACCAUUACUACUACUACCACUACUAACUACUACUACCACCAUUACUUCUACUACUACCACCAUUACUACCACUACUACUACUACUACCACCAUUACUACUACUACUACUACUACUACUACUACCAUUACUACUACUACUACCACUACCACCACUACUACCACCAUUACUACUACUACCACUACUAACUACUACUACCACCAUUACUACUACUACCACUACUAACUACUACUACCACCAUUACUACUACUACUACUACCACCAUUACUACUACUACUACUACUACCACCAUUACUACUAUUACUACUACUACUACUACUACUACCACCAUUACUACUACAACUACUACUACUACUACUACCACCAUUACUACUACCACUACUACUACUACUGCCAUUACUACCACUACUAGUACUACCACCAUUACUACCACUACUACUACCACCAUUACUACGGGGCGGCAGGGUAGCCUAGUGGUUAGAGCCGGAAGGUUGCAAGUUCAAAUCCCCGAGUUGACAAGGUACAAAUCUGUCGUUCUGCCCCUGAACAGGCAGUUAAACCCACUGUUCCCAGGCUGUCAUUGAAAAUAAGAAUUUGUUCUUAACUGACUUGCCUAGUUAAAUAAAGGUAAAAUAAAAAAUAAACUACUACUACUAAUACCACCAUUACUACAACUACCACCACUACUACUAUCCCUCUAGUAUUUAUAAUACAGUCACUACUAUAUACUAUACUAUAUAUAGAGGUCGACCGAUUAUGAUUUUUCAACACUGAUACUGAUUAUUGGAGGACCAAAAAAAGCCGAUACCGAUUAAUCGGGUGAUUUUUAUUUAUUUGUAAUAACGACAAUUACAACAAUACUGAAUGAACACUUAUUUUAACUUUAAUAUAAUACAUCAAUAAAAUCAAUUUAGCCUAAAAUAAAUCAUGAAACCUGUUCAAUUUGGUUUAAAUAAUGCAAGAACAAAGUGUUGGAGAAGAAAGUAGGAGUGCGAUAUGUGCCACGUAAAAAAGCUAACGUUUCAGUUCCUUGCUCAGAACAUGAGAACAUAUGAAAGCUGGUGGUUCCUUUUAACAUGAGUCUUCAAUAUUCCCCGGUAAGAAGUUUUAGGUUGUAGUUAUUAUAGGAAUUAUAGGACUAUUUCUCUCUAUACCAUUUGUAUUUCAUUAACCUUUGACUAUUGGAUGUUCUUAUAGGCACUUUAGUAUUGCCAGUGUAACAGUAUAGCUUCCGUCCCUCUCCUCGCCCCUACCUGGGUUCGAACCAGGAACACAACGACAACAGCCACCCUCAAACAGCGUUACCCAUGCAGAGCAAGGGGGAACAACUACUAGAAGGCUCAGAGCGAGUGACGUUUGAAACGCUAUUGGCGCGCGCUAACUAGCUAGCCAUUUCAGAUCGGUUACACCAGCCUCAUCUCGGGAGUUGAUAGGCUUGAAGUCAUAAACAGCGCAAUGCUUUGACGCACAACGAAGAGCUGCUGGCAAAACGCACGAAAGUGCUGUUUGAAUGAAUGUUUACGCGCCUACUUCUGCCUACCACCGCUCAGUCAGAUACUUAGAUGCUUGUAUGCUCAGUCAGAUUAUAUGCAACGCAGGACACGCUAGAUAAUAUCUAGUAAUAUCAUCAACCACGUGUAGUUAACUAGUGAUUAUGAUUGAUUGAGACUUAGAUACGCAGGACACGCUAGAUAAUAUCUAGUAAUAUCAUCAACCAUGUGUAGUUAACUAGUGAUUAUGAUUGAUUGUUUUUUAUAAAGGUAAGUUUAAUACUAGCUAGCAACUUACCUUGGCUUACUGCAUUCGAGUAACAGGCUCCUUGUGGAGUGCAACGAGAGGCAGGUCGUUAUUGCGUUGUACUAGUUAACUGUAAGGUUGCAAGAUUGGAUCCCCCGAGCUGACAAGAUGAAAAUCUGUCUUUCUGCCCCUGAACAAGGUAGUUAACAGUUAACCCCACUGUUCCUAGGCCGUCGUUGAAAAUAAGAAUGUGUUCUUAAUUGACUUGCCUAGUUAAAUAAAUAUGAAAUAUAGGUGUAAAAAAAUACCGAUUUCCGAUUGUUAUGAAAACUUGAAAUCGGCCAUUCCAUUAAUCGGUCAACCUCUAAUACUAGCCCCAAUUUUUCAACAUUAGCCUCUAACAAUUUAAACUUCAGAAAUGAUUCCACUAACGUACAAAGAAGCAAGUCACACAAUUUGUUUGGAUGAAAAAUGACCCCCUUUUCUUGUAAUUGUAGUUGAUGUAUAUGUUGUAACUCAUCCAUUACAAACUCGUCAGGGUAAAUCCUCGGGCAACCAGCCAGGAACAUCUUGCCAAUCUCAGGAUCCUCAUAUCAAGAAAGAAGGACAUGAUGAAAGCCAUUCUUUCCGAUACCGCUUCGGAUACCAACAGCGCAGCGUUACAUGCCAUACUCAUGGAACGGUCCUGGAUGCACUGCGAACAAGCACGGAGUUCAAGAAUACGACAAAGACGAGACAGGGGAUGGAAAUAGUCAUUCAAAGAGAGAAAGAACCACGGGCAGCUGUCAGUACACAUUUCCCCUGUCAUUUAAUUGAUAAGGAUGAGCUAGUGACAGUCAGCUUCAUCAGAGUUCUAAACGGUGGUUCUUCAGAUACCCGGGGCCUUUACCACCCAAAAAUACAACCUGACAAGUUGAUGACUUUCUGUGUUGAAACUGAGGGUGGACAAAAUAUUAAAACUAAAGUCAUGAAAAACCCAGAGCUAAAGAAGAAAGUGAAGUAUGUUUGUGUGUACUGCUACAAAGGGGACAAGGUGAAGCAAGCCUUGAGGAGAGAUGGGCGAUUUGAUAAAACCGUCUGGAAAACACGCUGUGUUCUUUCUGAGCCAGAGACCAGUGUCGACACAGAGAUGUCCCAGCCAGUUGAUGGUCUUGAUGGGAAAAGUCGUAAAGGUGAAAUGUUGAUUGUGAAGGUGAAACGUAUCGGUCGUGUAUCUCAGCCACAGCCAGAUAGUCUUGAGGAUUGGGACAACACACCAACUGAAGAGCUGUCCGUCCCCUCUGGUGUAACAUCGGAAGCACCUCUCUUUCCUCAGAGUCCUACCACAACAGACACAGUUACAACAAAGUUACAGGCAAAGGAGGCAGGAAAAGAUGGUAGUUCUCUGGUAGUGAAGCAAAAACGGCAAGAGAUUCCAAACUCUAAAGAGGUCCUAAACAUCCUGCGUUCCCAAUAUGCAGGUUUGGUAGAUCACUUGAAAGAGAGAGAGAAUUUGAAAAAGCCUUCAGACGUGCAACAAUUCUUGAGAGUAGAGUUUGGAAAGAAAACACAGAGCUUCCAAGAGGUGAAGAAAGUGAAGAGAGUAAUGGAGCUGAGUGCUUCUGUUUGUCAGGUGAGAAUUGAAGGGACACCAAAAGGAACUGGCUUCCUUCUGUUUGAAAAGUUCAUCCUUACAAACGCCCAUGUUGUCCAUCAAAUCUAUGAGCCGAUAACUAACCAGCUGCACCAAUCGGUAACAGUCACGUUUGACUUUGAAGACCUGGAUGAGAGAACGCAGCAGAUACCAGUGCAAAGUGAGGUUGUAGCCUAUGGAAAAGUUGAUUCGGGUUGUGUUGACUUUGCUCUGCUGGAGAUUAGCUCAGAUCCUGACAUCACCUUGCCUUCAAGCUUGCUUGACAGCUUCAGCUUUCCGUCUCUAGAGGGUGGAAUCUGCAUCAUCGGCCACCCCGAGGGCGGGGUGAAAAAGAUGGACCCCUGCUUUAUCAUUCAACAUGGAGAUCGUAAACAAGCCGUAGAAAAACAUUUAACAGAAAAUGAGGAAUUCUUAUAUGUCAUAAACAACAGAUAUUUUGAGGAGAAAUGGGACAUCGACACACAUCUACUGAUGGACACAGAAAAGAUGACCUAUGACACCUGUUUCUUCCACGGUGCCUCUGGCUCUCCAGUCUUCAAUGAGUACUGCCAGCUGAUCGCUAUGCAUACAGCAGGCUACUCCUACCAGGGUAAAAGAGGGAAAACCCAGAGUGUCAUAGAGUAUGCCAUUCCCCUGUCAGGCAUACUUGAGGAGAUCAUCAUUCAAGCGGUGCGUAGGAAAAGAGUUGAUGUGCUACAGGAAUUCCUGAGGCGGAGGAGUAUGAAAUUAGACGUAGUGAUGGAAAGAGUCAAGACACAGUCUGAUAACGCCAGCCUGGUCAAGGCAUUUCAGGAGAAGCUGCCGUUCAACAGUAACUCUUCGGCUACAGAUCAGGGAGAGCAGAGAACCUUCCACCAGUUCCUCUUUGAUAAAGCCACAGGGGUCAACGCCACAGGGGUCAACGCCACAGGGGUCAACGCCACAGGGGUCAACGCCACAGGGGUCGAAGCCAUGGAGGUGGAUGAUGACCAGUGGUGGAAGAAGUGCCCAGUUGUCUUGAGUAACAGUAAAGAUACCUUUAAUAGAAAGUGACUCCAGUGACUCCAGUGAAAGUGGGAGUCGCCCAGUAAAAUACUUCUUCAGUAAAAGUCUAAAAGUAUUUAGUUUAAAAUAGCCUUAAAUAUCAAAAGUAAAUGUGUAAAUAAUUUCAAAUUCGUUACGGUUAAGCAAAGCAGACGGCACCAUUUUCUUGUUUUGAAAAUGUAUGGAUAGCCAGGGGCCACGCUCCAACACUCAGACAACAUUUACAAACGAUGCAUUUGUGUUUAGUGUCCUCCAGAUCAGAGCCAGUAGGGAUGACCAGGGGUGUUCUCUGUUUAGUGAGUCCUCCAGAUCAGAGGCAGUAGGGAUGACCAGGGAUGUUCUCUGUUUAGUGAGUCCUCCAGAUCAGAGGCUAGUAGGGAUGACCAGGGACGUUCUCUGUUUCGUGAGUCCUCCAGAUCAGAGGCUAUAGGGAUGACCAGGGAUGUUCUCUGUUUUGUGAGUCCUCCAGAUCAGAGGCAGUAGGGAUGACCAGGGAUGUUCUCUGUUUUGUGAGUCCUCCAGAUCAGAGGCAGUAGGGAUGACCAGGGAUGUUCUCUGUUUAGUGAGUCCUCCAGAUCAGAGGCAGUAGGGAUGACCAGGGAUGUUUUCCUGGAUUUGACUAUUUUCCUGUCAAAAUGUAAUGAGGACUUUUGUGUGUCGGGGAAAAUGUAUGGAGUAAAAAGUACAUAGUUUGCUUUAGGAAUAUAGUGAAGUAAAAUUCAAAGUUGUCAAAAAUAUAAACAGUAAAGUAAGCUGCAGGUAUCCCACAAAACAACUUAAGUUUAUUUUAAAGUAUUUUUUACUAAAGUACUUUACACCACUGAUGAUAAUGAAAGGAGUGACGUGUAUUUUAUUAAAAUCCAUGCUUUUAAUCUAAACUGGAUUAUUAUGUUUUCAUAUAUUAAUUAGUUUAUAUUUCAUGAUUACAUUCCUCAAUACAGACCUGUUCUGAGGCAGAUCAU